GAUGAACGCUGGCGGCGUGCCUAAUACAUGCAAGUCGAGCGAACGGACGAGAAGCUUGCUUUUCUGAUGUUAGCGGCGGACGGGUGAGUAACACGUGGAUAACCUACCUAUAAGACUGGGAUAACUUCGGGAAACCGGAGCUAAUACCGGAUAAUAUUUUGAACCGCAUGGUUCAAAAGUGAAAGACGGUCUUGCUGUCACUUAUAGAUGGAUCCGCGCUGCAUUAGCUAGUUGGUAAGGUAACGGCUUACCAAGGCAACGAUGCAUAGCCGACCUGAGAGGGUGAUCGGCCACACUGGAACUGAGACACGGUCCAGACUCCUACGGGAGGCAGCAGUAGGGAAUCUUCCGCAAUGGGCGAAAGCCUGACGGAGCAACGCCGCGUGAGUGAUGAAGGUCUUCGGAUCGUAAAACUCUGUUAUUAGGGAAGAACAUAUGUGUAAGUAACUGUGCACAUCUUGACGGUACCUAAUCAGAAAGCCACGGCUAACUACGUGCCAGCAGCCGCGGUAAUACGUAGGUGGCAAGCGUUAUCCGGAAUUAUUGGGCGUAAAGCGCGCGUAGGCGGUUUUUUAAGUCUGAUGUGAAAGCCCACGGCUCAACCGUGGAGGGUCAUUGGAAACUGGAAAACUCGAGUGCAGAAGAGGAAAGUGGAAUUCCAUGUGUAGCGGUGAAAUGCGCAGAGAUGUGGAGGAACACCAGUGGCGAAGGCGACUUUCUGGUCUGUAACUGACGCUGAUGUGCGAAAGCGUGGGGAUCAAACAGGAUUAGAUACCCUGGUAGUCCACGCCGUAAACGAUGAGUGCUAAGUGUUAGGGGGUUUCCGCCCCUUAGUGCUGCAGCUAACGCAUUAAGCACUCCGCCUGGGGAGUACGACCGCAAGGUUGAAACUCAAAGGAAUUGACGGGGGCCCGCACAAGCGGUGGAGCAUGUGGUUUAAUUCGAAGCAACGCGAAGAACCUUACCAAAUCUUGACAUCCUUUGACAACUCUAGAGAUAGAGCCUUCCCCUUCGGGGGACAAAGUGACAGGUGGUGCAUGGUUGUCGUCAGCUCGUGUCGUGAGAUGUUGGGUUAAGUCCCGCAACGAGCGCAACCCUUAAGCUUAGUUGCCAUCAUUAAGUUGGGCACUCUAAGUUGACUGCCGGUGACAAACCGGAGGAAGGUGGGGAUGACGUCAAAUCAUCAUGCCCCUUAUGAUUUGGGCUACACACGUGCUACAAUGGACAAUACAAAGGGCAGCGAAACCGCGAGGUCAAGCAAAUCCCAUAAAGUUGUUCUCAGUUCGGAUUGUAGUCUGCAACUCGACUACAUGAAGCUGGAAUCGCUAGUAAUCGUAGAUCAGCAUGCUACGGUGAAUACGUUCCCGGGUCU
rnacentral:rRNA from 1 species